rnacentral:rRNA from 1 species
UACGUAGGGGGCAAGCGUUGUCCGGAUUUACUGGGUGUAAAGGGUGCUCAGGUGGUUUUGUAAGUCAGAGGUGAAAUCUCAGAGCUUAACUCUGGAACUGCCUUUGAUACUAUAGAACUUGUGUACGGAAGAGGCUGAUGGAAUUCCUGGUGUAGCAGUGAAAUGCGUAGAUAUCAGGAAGAACACCAGUGGCGAAGGCGGUCAGCUGGUCCGGUACAGACACUAAAGCACGAAAGCGUGGGUAGCAAACAGG